GAGAGCCUCCAUGCUGCCGCUGCCCAGCGUCUUCUCCCUCCAGAGCCGACUGCCAGCAGCUGCUCCCAGGACCAGCCGGGGGUUUAUCUUUCUACCCUGGAGAUGGACAGACAAUCCAGGUCCCCAUGGGUGUUCUUCUCUGAUGACUGCAGAGCUGAAAUAUAAGCAGCACUUCCAGAAACAGUGAAACCUCCGUGGUGCUGUUGGACGGCAGCGAGUCAGGAGCAGGGGGAUGAAUGUCUGCAGCUGUGACCCGGCUCGGACUCACGUGUGACAUCCCACAGCAAAGGUACAAAGGUUUUGUGUUGAACUGUGGGCUGCAGGCCAGACCCAGCACAGGACUGCAAGCUCCUCAGCAUCCCCAAAGCCUCCUGGUUUUAACAGCAGCUGGAGGGGCGAGCACAUGGCAGAACUGUUUCGGAUCAACAGGAUGGAGCUGUGGAAAGACAGGGAGGGUCAGACAUCGCUGCAUCACAUCUGUGCCAUCCAAAGGAAAAGAUGGUUUGGGCAAAGAUGGGCACUAUGCAGUUGACUUGAGUUCUGUAUCCUGCUUCGAGGAGUUCACUAAACUUCCCUCACAGAGAAAGAAUUAAAAGGAGAAAGAAAAAAUAUUAAAUUCCAUUGAAAUAUUCACAGGGAUGCCAAGAGCUUACAUAGGCUUCUCUGUAGAAUGACAGGAAAAAUUCUGAGGUUUGUUCCCUACUUCUAGGGUUCCUUUACCUCACUUGGCUGCUAAUUUGUUCUCUGCCUUCAUUUUGAAGAAGGAUUGAGCUCUACAACUGGAAGAAAUGUUUUCUCACCCAUUAGCCAUUUGAGACAGAGACAGAUUCUCACAGAAAUCAAACACAGCCUCCUCUUAUCUGCCCCACCAGCAUAGACUGGUCCAACAGAGCUUUGUACAUCUUUGAAGUUAGCAGCGUAAGUGAGCCAGGUCUUUUUAUAAGGUUGCAUGUGAAAUUGUCAGAAGAAUGAAACCAUUUGCAGAUGGUGGAGUGAUAAAGAUGGUACAGUAUCUCACUUGUAUUUGCCCCUGAUUUCCUUGGGAAGAGAAGAAAAAGAAAAGGGGAGGAAAAAAAAAAGGCAGCGGGAGGAAAGAGAAACUCCAACAAAUGAAAUUCUUUUGACAACACAGUGUUGAAGGACUAAGUGAGAUUUCUGGCAAAAGCACUAGGACUCUGAAGACAAGCUGACUUCUGCAAUAUUUAUUACUUUGCUUUGAUGAAACCUCUGACAUCAAGGACUUUCUUAGUGACUGACUAUUGUCAGAAUAAUGUUGCAGGAACUGGAAGUGACAGAUGAUUUUUUUGUACAUGAAGCUUGUGCAUAAUGGCAUGAGAAAGAGGACAUAAAAAAGUCUGCCCUGAAGCAGCUUAAUGUGGCCCUGGAGAAAAGAGCUGUUAUCACCGCUUACUGAUGUAGUCACAGCAGUAUGUGUUACCAAAAAUUGGAUCCCGAAGUCAGACAGUUCAGCAUGGGGCAGAUAUUCUAAGAGUUGUGUUCCCUUAUCACAGCCUUGUAGAGGCUGGGACUGCAGGAGGAAAUCUGGCAGAGGAGUGAAUGUACCUCCAGAAACAAAAUAAAAAUUUCCUUUACUGUGUCAGGUCUAUCCCCUGUAUUGCAAUACCGCAAGACCAUACGUGGCAAAAAUAAAUGUGUUGACGUUGAUGUGUGUUGGUGGACUUGUGACAACUGCUGAUGCAGAAUGCAAUAUCCCCCUGCUUACUCUUCUGUAUUUUCUGAACACAGGGCACAGAAGCACUGUGAUGUACCUAUGGUGCAGUGACUGUAGCUCUUCACAGAAACACAAAACUUGUAGAAAAAAUGUUUCCAAACUAGCUGUAGCAUCAUAUAUACUUGUGUGCAGCCAGCUUUUCAAAUAGUACUUAGUACCAAAUUAAUCAAGAGAACCUAUGGGGAUGUAGAAAAGUUGGGGAAUAAUUUAAGGUAUAAUCUAGAGUCAUUUCAAAGUAAUUAAUUAACUAAAAUAUUAACCACCCUUUCCUCAAGUCCAUAGGUCUUUGAGAUGUUAUUCUUCCCAUCAAGAGGUUCCAACUGGAAAUCAGAGUUACAGUGCUCUGCAGCAAAACUGCUAUUUUCAAACCCAGAGGCCAGGGUUGCAGCAGGAUACCAUAAUCUUCUCUGGGUAUCUCAAUAACCUUUCUCUGUGCUCUACAGACACACUUUGUUUUGAUUGCGCCUCAUGCAGUGGAAUCAUACUUGUUUUCAGUGGGAAUAUUGUGAGGUGCACAGUUGGCAUUUGUAUAUUUUGGAGGAAAAAAAGCAAAAUCUUUUCAAACCCCAAACUGUGUAUUUAUUAAAAUCAGGUUUUGUUUUGACUUGCCUA